rnacentral:rRNA from 1 species
UACGAGGGGGGCAAGCGUUGUUCGGAAUUAUUGGGCGUAAAGGGCGCGUAGGCGGCGUGUCAAGUCAGGCGUGAAAGCCCCGGGCUCAACCUGGGAACCGCGCUUGAGACUGGCAUGCUCGAGUUCGGGAGAGGAUGGUGGAAUUCCCAGUGUAGAGGUGAAAUUCGUAGAUAUUGGGAAGAACACCGAUGGCGAAGGCAGCCAUCUGGACCGACACUGACGCUGAGGCGCGAAAGCGUGGGGAGCAAACAGG